GCCCAAGAGAUCGGGAUAACACCUGGAAACAGAUGCUAAUACCGGAUAACAACAGAUGAUGCCUAUCAACUGUUUAAAAGAUGGUUAUGCUAUCACUCUUGGAUGGACCUGCGGUGCAUUAGCUAGUUGGUAGGGUAACGGCCUACCAAGGCGAUGAUGCAUAGCCGAGUUGAGAGACUGAUCGGCCACAUUGGGACUGAGACACGGCCCAAACUCCUACGGGAGGCAGCAGCU
rnacentral:rRNA from 1 species